AUUGAACGCUGGCGGCAGGCUUAACACAUGCAAGUCGAGCGAUGAAGCUCCUUCGGGAGUGGAUUAGCGGCGGACGGGUGAGUAACACGUGGGCAACCUGCCUUAUAGAGAGGAAUAGCCAUUCGAAAGGAUGAUUAAUACCUCAUAAUAUUGUAGCUUCGCAUGGAGCAACAAUCAAAGGAGCAAUCCACUAUAAGAUGGGCCCGCGGAGCAUUAGCUAGUUGGUGAGGUAACGGCUCACCAAGGCGACGAUGCGUAGCCGACCUGAGAGGGUGAUCGGCCACAUUGGGACUGAGACACGGCCCAGACUCCUACGGGAGGCAGCAGUGGGGAAUAUUGCACAAUGGGGGUAACCCUGAUGCAGCAACGCCGCGUGAGUGAUGACGGCCUUCGGGUUGUAAAGCUCUGUCUUCAGGGACGAUAAUGACGGUACCUGAGGAGGAAGCCACGGCUAACUACGUGCCAGCCGCCGCCGUAA
rnacentral:rRNA from 1 species